rnacentral:rRNA from 1 species
UUCCGGUUGAUCCUGCCGGAGGCCAUUGCUAUCGGGGUCCGAUUUAGCCAUGCUAGUCGUGCGGGUUCAGACCCGCGGCAAACAGCUCAGUAACACGUGGCCAAACUACCCUACGGAUCGGGAUAACCUCGGGAAACUGAGGCUAAUCCUGAAUAACGGCCCUACGCUGGAAUGCGAGGGACGUGAAACGCUCCGGCGCCGUAGGACGUGGCUGCGGCCGAUUAGGUAGACGGUGGGGUAACGGCCCACCGUGCCGAUAAUCGGUACGGGUCAUGAGAGUGAGAGCCCGGAGAUGGAUUCUGAGACAAGAAUCCAGGCCCUACGGGGCGCAGCAGGCGCGAAACCUUUACACUGCACGCCAGUGCGAUAGGGGGACCCCGAGUGCGAGGGCAUACAGUCCUCGCUUUUCUGUACCGUAAGGUGGUACAGGAAUAAGGGCUGGGCAAGACCGGUGCCAGCCGCCGCGGUAAUACCGGCAGCUCAAGUGAUGGCCACUAUUAUUGGGCCUAAAGCGUCCGUAGCUGGCCGAACAAGUCCGUCGGGAAAUCCAUCCGCCUAACGGAUGGGCGUCCGGCGGAAACUGUCCGGCUUGGGGCCGGAAGACCCGAGGGGUACGUCCGGGGUAGGAGUGAAAUCCUGUAAUCCUGAACGGACCGCCGGUGGCGAAAGCGCCUCGGGAGGACGGACCCGACAGUGAGGGACGAAAGCUGGGAUCUCGAACCGGAUUAGAUACCCGGGUAGUCCCAGCCGUAAACGAUGCCCGCUAGGUGUGCCGCAGGCUACGAGCCUGCGCUGUGCCGUAGGGAAGCCGUGAAGCGGGCCGCCUGGGAAGUACGUCCGCAAGGAUGAAACUUAAAGGAAUUGGCGGGGGAGCACUACAACCGGAGGAGCCUGCGGUUCAAUUGGACUCAACGCCGGU